UGAGCAUUGUUAAGUUAGGCCAGAUACAGUA
rnacentral:piRNA from 1 species